rnacentral:misc_RNA from 1 species
GAUGAAGAACGUAGUGAAAUGCGAUACUUGGUGUGAAUUGCAGAAUCCCGUGAACCAUCGAGUCUUUGAACGCAAGUUGCGCCCGAAGCCAUUAGGCCGAGGGCACGCCUGCCUGGGCGUCACACGUCGUUGCCCCCCCCAUCUACUCCUUCGGGAUUGCGGGGGGCGGAUGAUGGCCUCCCGUGCGCCUCGCCGCGCGGUUGGCAUAAAUGCCAAGUCCUCGGCGACGCACGCCGCGACAAUCGGUGGUUGCGAAACCUCGGUUGCCCGUCGUGUGCGGUCGUCGCGCAUCGAGGGCUCGAAAAAAUUGCCGAGUUCCGGCUCGGCUUUCAACGCGACCCCAGGUCAGGCGGGGUUACCCGCUGAAUUUAAGCAUAUCAAUAAGCGGAGGA